ACGCUCGACACCUACGUGAGGCAGCAGUGGGGAAUAUUGCACAAUGGGGGAAACCCUGAUGCAGCGACGCCGCGUGAAGGAAGAAGUAUUUCGGUAUGUAAACUUCUAUCAGCAGGGAAGAAGAAAGUGACGGUACCUGACUAAGAAGCCCCGGCUAACUACGUGCCGGCAGCCGCGGUAAUCUGAGCGGGCUGGCAAGGC
rnacentral:rRNA from 1 species